GUAUGAGAAUUCAAUACUUAUAGAGUUAUAACUGUCCUGAGGUGAAGGUCAAUGUGUGUGUUUGUUUGCAAGAUAGUUUAUGUUGUAAAUUUAUUAAUUAAUUUGCACCUAUUUUAUAGCCGUUCUGGACAUACACAUGGGCAGAAGAUGUAGCCGCCUUGUGUGAAAAUUUGAGAGCUCUCUACUCCAUCUUCCGCUAGUAUAACCCUCAUUGGCUGGAAUCAUAAUGGUAUCUGCAUCUGGAACUGGCCACUAGUAUAACACCUACAAAAUGCACAACGGCCUUCAGACCAUAUGAAAAGUCUACAGGGUGAGAAUCUGAAAAUCCAGCAAUGAGGAGAAAAAAGUUAUCUCCCAUUAAGAACACUUUCCAGAAGCUACACAAUUCCAGUUAUUGAUUCAUCCCAUUUACUAGAACCUGUUCAUCUGGCUAUGCCCAAAACCAAGGGAAACUGAAAUAGUGGUUACCAUAUUCUGUAACUCAGCCUAGCCUAGCUUCAGAAGUUUUAA
rnacentral:lncRNA from 1 species